GAUGAACGCUGGCGGCGUGCCUAAUACAUGCAAGUCGAGCGAACGGACGAGAAGCUUGCUUCUCUGAUGUUAGCGGCGGACGGGUGAGUAACACGUGGAUAACCUACCUAUAAGACUGGGAUAACUUCGGGAAACCGGAGCUAAUACCGGAUAAUAUUUUGAACCGCAUGGUUCAAAAGUGAAAGACGGUCUUGCUGUCACUUAUAGAUGGAUCCGCGCUGCAUUAGCUAGUUGGUAAGGUAACGGCUUACCAAGGUAACGAUGCAUAGCCGACCUGAGAGGGUGAUCGGCCACACUGGAACUGAGACACGGUCCAGACUCCUACGGGAGGCAGCAGUAGGGAAUCUUCCGCAAUGGGCGAAAGCCUGACGGAGCAACGCCGCGUGAGUGAUGAAGGUCUUCGGAUCGUAAAACUCUGUUAUUAGGGAAGAACAUAUGUGUAAGUAACUGUGCACAUCUUGACGGUACCUAAUCAGAAAGCCACGGCUAACUACGUG
rnacentral:rRNA from 1 species